rnacentral:rRNA from 1 species
AAUCUUCCGCAAUGGACGAAAGUCUGACGGAGCAACGCCGCGUGAGUGAUGAAGGNCUNNGGAUCNUNAAACUCUGUUGUUAGNNNNNAACAAGUAUCGAUCGAAUAGGGCGGAACCUUUACGGUACCGAACCAGAAAGCCACGGCGAACUACGUUCCAGCAGCCGGGGUAAUACGUAGGUGGCAAGCGUUAUCCGGAAUUAUUGGGCGUAAAGGGCGCGCAGGCGGUUUCUUAAGUCUGAUGUGAAAGCCCACGGCUCAACCGUGGAGGGUCAUUGGAAACUGGGAAGCUUGAGUGCAGAAGAGGAGAGUGGAAUUCCAUGUGUAGCGGUGAAAUGCGUAGAGAUAUGGAGGAACACCAGUGGCGAAGGCGACUCUCUGGUCUGCAACUGACGCUGAGGCGCGAAAGCGUGGGGAGCGAACA